AUGGGCAAAAUUCACCCCAAAAUUCACCCAAAAUCUGCACAAAAUCAAAACAUUCAACCCAGGAAACCCAAAAUCCCCAAAAACGCCCAAAAUUCACCCCAAAAAAUCCCAAAAUGCCCCCAAACCCCCGAAUUUCCCCCCCGGAACCCCAAAAUCGCCGUUUUUUGCCCCAAACUCGCGUUGGGGACGAAGAUCCGGCUCUGGCCCGACUCCAGCAGCUGCUCCAGCUCCUCCUCCGACAGCGGCGGCUGCCCGGCUGCCAAAAUCGGGGAAAUCGCCCCAAAACGGAGUCAGAAACCCCAAAUCAGGACAAUUUACCCCAAAAUUGGGGAAAUCGCCCCAAAAACAGGGUUAGAAACCCCAAAAUCAGGAAAAUUUACCCCAAAAACAGGGUUAGAAACCCCAAAUCAGGACAAUUUACCCCAAGAAUGGGAAAAUUUAUCCCAAAAUUGGGGAAAUCACCCCAAAACGGGGUCAGAAACCCCAAAUCAGGACAAUUUACCCCAAGAAUGGGAAAUAUACCCAAAAUUGGGGAAAUCGCCCCAAAACCGGGUCAGAAACCCCAAAAUUGGGACAAUUUACCCCAAGAAUGGGAAAAUUUAUCCCAAAAUUGGGGAAAUCACCCCAAAACGGGGUCAGAAACCCCCAAAUCGGGACAAUUUACCCCAAGAAUGGGAAAUUUACCGCAAAAUUGGGGAAAUCGCCCCAAAACGGGGUCAGAAACCCCCAAAUUGGGACAAUUUACCCCAAGAAUGGGAAAUUUACCCCAAAAUUGGGGAAAUUGCCCCAAAAACAGGGUUAGAAACCCCAAAAUCAGGAAAAUUUACCCCAAAAACAGGGUUAGAAACCCCAAAUCAGGACAAUUUACCCCAAAAACGGGGAAAUUGCCCCAAAACGGGGUCAGAAACCCCAAAUCAGGACAAUUUACCCCAAGAAUGGGAAAUUUACCCAAAAUUGGGGAAAUCGCCCCAAAACCGGGUCAGAAACCCCAAAAUUGGGACAAUUUACCCCAAAUGGGGAAAAUUUACCCCAAAAACGGGGAAAUCGCCCCAAAACGGGGUCAGAAACCCCCAAAUUGGGACAAUUUACCCCAAAAAUGGGAAAUUUACCCCAAAACUGGGAAAAGGGUCCCAAAAAGGGAAAAUUUUCCCCAAAAUGGAAAAAGGACCGCAAAAGUGGGAAAAUUUUCCCAAAAAUGGGAAAAAAGACCCCAAAAAGGUGAAAAUUUUCCCAGAAGUGGUUAAAGGAACCCCAAAAAGGCGAAAAUUUUCCCAGAAAUGGUUAACGCAACCCCAAAAGUGGGAAAAUUUUCCCAGAAUUGGUUAA
rnacentral:lncRNA from 1 species